rnacentral:rRNA from 1 species
GACAGAGGAUGCAAGCGUUAUCCGGAAUGAUUGGGCGUAAAGCGUCUGUAGGUGGCUUUUUAAGUCCGCCGUCAAAUCCCAGGGCUCAACCCUGGACAGGCGGUGGAAACUACCAAGCUGGAGUACGGUAGGGGCAGAGGGAAUUUCCGGUGGAGCGGUGAAAUGCGUAGAGAUCGGAAGGAACGCCGGUGGCGAAAGCGGCGUGCUGGAUCUCUUCUGACGCUGAGGCGCGAAAGCCAGGGGAGCAAACGGG